UAUUCUGUAAGGUAAAAUAACAUCACUGGUUCAUAAGUAAGAGUGAGCCGGUGCUGAGCAGAGGAGACAUUUCUGUGGAUCCUCGAGCCUCCCCCUCCCUCUCCCUCUCUCUGCUGCAUCCAGCCGUCAGUGCGCCUGGCAGAAAACAUCCUCUGCUCUGUCAAUUAGGGGGAAGAUUUAGUCGGAUGCACCGCGAGGAAUAUUUAAACCGACACACCGGGAUGUGCAGGAUGUCAGCUGUCCCCUGGCUUUUAACGUUGGCUCUGCAGCACGUUUGGCUGUCACCACGGCGACUGUCGGGGUAGACAGACAGCCCGACUUGACUAAAUGGUUACAUGUGCCACCUGCUCUGACGAGCCGGCAGAUGGAAUAUCUGAUUUUUCACGGGCGAGGUGCCUCGCUGGCGUCGUGUUUCGCUGAGCAGUCGGACAUAUGACAAAGUGACGGGUACACGAAGUGACACCAGAGGUGAAAGAUGGCUUUGCUGGCUGUUAGCUUUCUUGCUAACUGAAUGACAGGUGGAUGGAUGGAUGCGGCGUAUCAGUCAAAUUCUGCAAAUCAAAUUUUAAGCUUAUAAGAAUUCAACAAGGAAAGUUUAACUUUCCUGACAGAGCAAAUGCACAAUAAGGCUGAGCAGCAGACGUGAUAUUAACAUGGAUUUGUUUCCCCCAAAUACUGACACAACUUUCCAAAGAGCAGGACUGCAGCUGAAAGGUGAACGGUGACGACUACAGGCAAGCAUGAUGUUGGAAUAGAUAUGGAGACGGUACACAAACACAGAUGGUUUCUGAACUCCAUGCAUCAGUGUUGGCAUUGUAGCUGCGGCCAUGUAGAGUUUGGAGGCAGGAGUCACCGUGAUUGGACAGGGUGGUGCUAACCAGCUAGCUCUGCUAGCAAGCUUCAUCCAUAUAGGUGUGUAUGGCUCACAGGUGAUGGACUGUUGGUGUAGUUAUUCACACAGGAUGCCAUAUUAUUUAUCAGAAAUGUAAAACAUGGUCUUUCUCAGGGACUCCAUUUAGCUGAGGUGAAACCGGUCAGACAGCUUGCAGCUACAACUGCCCGUGUUGCCAUCCACCUGUCAGUCAAAGAAGCCACGCCCCUAAUAAUCCAAACUUUAAAACUGCAAAUGAGUGAGUAACAAAAAGCAGAGCUGCAGUUAGGAGGCUCGACCGGGCAUUAGGGGAACGUUGGGGUUUCAUUUUCCAGCCCAGAGGCUGCUGCUUGUUCGCUCAUGAACUCAGAAGUGUUUUAAACUGCAGUGGGUUUGCCUCGGGGUGGGUGCACGCUCAGUCACUGAAUCAGAGGCGACAGGGAAGCUGGUCACUCUUGUUUGAGGAUUUGUCGUUUUGUAUCUUAAGAGUCACUUGAACUUCGAAACACCUGGUUCUUUGGUGAUUCUGCCUCGUUUCAGCGUCACGGCCUCUCCGCCCUCACACUGACAAACCGACCCUCGGCCGGUGUCGAUGCCAGAACCCUGACCUGCAUCGCCGCGGCUCGCUCUAAGCCUUGUAGCACCUGGAUGUUCUCCUAAAUCCCAUUCUUCAGACGGAUUACAGCUUCCAAUCCGAGCAAACCUCCUCCAGCCCACCAAAUCCUCAAAGGAGACAGUCACCGCACGCCCAUGUAACGGCGCCUCAUACUGCUACACCCCUGCUGGAGCUGCACAACACCGCCAGGGGAACAAAAAGCAGCCAGAUUUUGCUGAAUACUGUGAUUCUGACAAACGGAGACGCCUGCGGCUGUGUCUGCAGUAUUUGUCUCUAAGCCGUGAUAAAAGGCCUCAAAGAUGAGCUGCAGUUUUGUUAUGUAGAAAAGAAUAAGAAAUUAUAGCUGACGGCCAAUUUAAUUUGCACACAACUGCUUUAUGAAGCAAGAAGGAUGCUUUCCACCCAGGAAACAAAGUGAGAUCCUUUGUUAUUCUGAAGAUAGCAGACAUUAAUUUGGGCUUUUUCAUAUCUAUAUACAGCCGUGCCAAGCUAGGGCAUGAAUGUGAUGCACCGAAGCUUUUGUGUUCAAGGGUCGUCGACCUGUGAGCGUUGGUCUGAUGGUGGGAAACAUUGAAAAGCAUUCACAGGUCGGAAAUCUGACGUUCUCACAUCGUGGAUCCUCUUAAUGAGAACAAAUCACUGAGUAAAUGACAGUGGGGUUAAUAUUUUCAGUGCUCCACAUGGAUUUAACAUUAGUGCGAUUCACUAAACGGCUGUGGUUCCUGGUUUUCAUGGCGCCAUGUAAAACUUCCUGCAGGACCAGGCUCAGGGAGGGGCGGGCCCAUCUGCUGAGACCGGUUGGGGUUAGGGGAGGAAGUGAGUGAAGAAGAAACACCGAGUGCAUUCUGUGUGUCUGUGGAGAAGGAGUGGGCGUCUCCUUGAGGUGAUCAGGCGAGCAGCUUCCAUCACAGCCGUCUGCUUAAAUCACGCCCUCCACGCCUCAUCGUCAGCAUCAUCAUCCUCAACUCUCACCCCCGCACAAGCGUGACUCAUAAUCCUCCGUCAGCCCUCAUCUUCCACCGUCGGCUGGAGAACUGAAACAAAUCUGCCUCUAAUGUGUUUCAGCUCUUAACAUGUGUCUCUGCUCUCAUUAGCGCUCCAUGAAACAAUCUGUAGCUGUGAGUUUGAGUUAAAUGGUUUUGUUUUGGAGAAGUUUAGCUGCUAGUUUAGAUCACAGGGCUUGUAGCUGCACUGUGGCUGUUAAUGUUUCAGGCUGAUGAGUAAUUACAGAGUAAUGACUGUAUGGUUGCAGAGGGAUUACCGGUAUCAUGUUAUUCUUGUCUUAUGUCUUUUUGAAGCAGUAAUAAUGGUGAAAACACAUCAUCAGCUGCAUAGACACAUCACUAUCAGAACAAUCCUUUCUACAACACCGGAGCAGCUCAUCAUUAGCCCUGGCAAUGAAGACAGAAGAUGUGACCAUAUUUAGAGAAGAGGUUUAUAAUAACCUCACAGGAGCCGUAUUAUUGGUCACACCUGAAACAGCACAAACAUGGUCCACAGGUCCAGUUCAGGGACUCCAGUCGGCUGAGGUAAAGCCAAGCUGACAGCUAGAAGCUACAGCCGUCCACCUGUUGGUCAAAUUCAAUCCAGUUUCAUUCAUACAGCGCCAAAUCACAACAGCAGUUACCUUCAGGUGUUUUAUAUUGUAAGGUAGAGACCCUACAAUAAUGCAGAGAAACCCCAACAAUUAGAAAAACCCCUACAGGCAGGCACUUUGGUGACAGUGGGAAGGAAAAACUCCAUUUUAGCAGGAAGCAACCUUCUGCAAGACCAGGCUCAGGGAGGGGGCGGGGCCAUCUACUGCAAACAGUUGGGGUGAGGGGAGGAAGUGAGUGAAGAAGAAACACCCAGUGCAUCAUGGGAAUCCCCCAGCAGCCUACAUCUAUUGCAGCAUAGCUAAGGGAGGAUUCAGGGUCACCUGACUGUAUGUUUCAUAAAAAAGGAAUGUUUUAAGCCUAAUCUGUAAAAGUCUGUACUUGUAAAUAACAGGAACCAGAAGUAAACCAUCAGUCUGAGAGGUCAUUAAGAUCUUGUAUAUCAUGAGAAGGAUUUUUAGAGAAGCCAGUGUGGGAGAAAUACGGCCACAGCAGUCACAUCCGUCACUCUGAGCCUCAGAAGUCUGCAGAUGUAAAAGCUUGAGCAGGAUCUAUAUUAGAGCAAAAUAAGAGGCUGUUGCUUCUAACACUCAAACACACUUCAGAGAGCUCAGUCUUUGUGUUUCUGCUCAUGUUCCUAUCAUGCAGCAGCCACAAUAACAGACACACGUCUGUUUUUCUUCUCUUCUCGACCGCCUUUGCAAUUUUCAGAGUAUUCACUCGUGAUCACCACAAAGCUUUUGACCACACACAAAGAUGGCGAGGGAGUCGUCUCCGUCUCAUUCUGCAGCUUUGUCUCGCUUCUUUCAGCGUCGUCUGUUCCACAUGAAAAGCCCCAAACUGUGGGAGUCAUCCCGUGCCUGCUCUUUACUCUGCCUUUCUGUUUUAUUCCCAUCUGCCUAUCGCCAGCAUGAAUGCAGCUUGUCCUGUCUUAAACGAGAGGCUGCAGCUGCAUCCAUCCUCGUCUUACUCCUGAAAACACAUCGACAGACUCGACCUGUGCCUCUGCGGAGUGCCUCCCUUCAUUAAUCUCUAUAUCUAUUUAUUACUGAAGCUAUUCACGCUCCUCCUGCAGAUAUACAUACUGUACAUCCAUCAGCGCGCCCCCUCCCACCGCUCCUGCUGACUGAGCUCUCAUAUAAAGACUCCAGCAGGUAGUUGCGUAGUAACAGGGCGAAGCACUGUGGAUAGUCUGAGUGAGUGGACUGAGCACCUCCACCCUCACGGCCUCAUCUCUGCCUCAUCUCUGCCUCUUAGAGGAGAGCAGAGCUCGGCGACAACACGUGGAGCACGGCCUCCUCUAUGGCGGUCGAUAAGAUUCAGCUAAAACCAGACAGAACAGACGUGUGUGUUCAUCAAAUGGACACAAUUAAUCACAAAUAUAAAGAUUUGUGUCAAAGGAACACCGAUUCAUGGCUUCUGUGUGUGCGGACUAAUUUGGGUGUAGUUACCCAUGAAAGGCUCCAUCAGUGCUGUCACCGUUAAAAAACACACGGACAAGGACUGACAGGAGCAGAUGCUUCAGCGACAUGUUAGCAUCCUGGCAGGUGUGCAUCAGCUGUCCACAUAUAAGCAAAGAACAAACACCACCCAGGCUUCAUUACUACAAAGGAAAGUUGUUAAUGAACUGCAGUUCCUUUUGAGGCUGCCUCCACUCCCACAUACUCCUGCGUAAAAAUGCUCAGCUGCACAGCUGAAAUAAGCUUGUAUAUCUGCUAUGAAAUGAAAGCUGUGGGUCCUUUGAGCUGUGCCAGAGUGAAGCUGGCAGAACUUGGAGUAAUUUACAUGUUAGAAAACCACACAGGGAACCAGAGAGCAUCUGCCAAUCUUUAGCUCCUCCCACGGCUGCUGAUGUCAUAGAUCCAGCAUGAUGAGAACUGUGUGCCACAAAGGUUGGUGUGAUAUGGGAGUGACUCGUGGGGUCUGCUUUGUGGGUCAGCUCAUGAGUUUGUCAGGUAACUCUGUUGUCUUUUUUACAGGCUGUCAGGAACAUACUGCUCACCUGCUGUGCAGUAUGUCCCACCCCCACAGGUCUACUGAGACACGAUGUGGAUCUCCUCACCUGUCAGCAACCAUCACCUGUUUCACUUUAAGACCCCAGGGAAACUUUUUGUGUGUCGGUUUCUGAUAAUCAGAUUGAUUCAGCGUUCAGGGAACUUUGGGUUUUCCGACUACUUUCAGCAGUUUAACAGCCUGUUGCACAGAUGCGCUUGGUGGCGCUGUCACUUGGUGUUCGCUCGCUCUGUGGUAUAGUAUCACUUCC